GAAAGGUUAUGAAGAUUUGAUUUAUUGUGUUACGUCUCUAAGGCUGAAUUCACCAUUUAUCCCACCGAUCCCAGAAUGUUGUAAGAAUUUAAAAAUUGAUAAGAUGUAUUGCCUUUGUGAUGCUGUCAAUCCUACUUUUGGUGAACGUUUUGACGUAAAAAAGCUCGGCAAACUGUCUCACGCAUGUGGUGAUCUAUUAGCUCCUGGCUCUUAUUGUGGAGUAUACAAAAUUCCUGGUGGUGCAUAAGAGAGAUGAUGAAUACUUCUUCUCCGGUUAUUUUGCAAUGAUGAAAGAAGACCUUAAGUUGUAUGUUGUGAAGAAUGUUGACCGGAUUUCCUCAAUAAAUAAAUUUUAUUAAUUGUGAUCUUAA